ensembl:lncRNA
CCACCUUCUGGGUGCUCUCCUUCAGCUCCUCCAGGAACUGCAGCAGCUCCCGGGGGCUCCGGAUCACUUUGAAGUGGAUCUUCUUACGGCCGUCUGCGAUGGGAUGUGGAGAAAGUGGGAUGGGGUGGGGGGGGGGGCAAUGGGGGGCCGCGGUGCGGACACAGAGGGGACAGUGGGGGGGUGCAGUGCAGGGAUGCAGAGGGCGCAGUGCAGGGACACAGCAAAGACGGAGCGGGGACAGUGAAGGGAUGGCACGGGGAUGCAGUGGGGAUGCAGUGGGGGCAGUGCAGGGACAGCACUGGGAUGCAGUGGGGGCAGUUGAAGGCACAGCAUUGGGGAUGCAGUGGGGAUGCAGUGGGAGCAGUAUAGGGACUGCACAGGGACAGCACUGGGACAGCGUGGGGAUGCAGUGCGGGGACAUGGGGGGGACAUGGCAGAGACAUAAUGAGGAUGGCGGGGGGAUGCAGUGGGGGACAGUGUGGGGACAGUGGGGACACAGUGCAGAGACUGUGCAGGGACAGCAGUGGGACGCAGUGGGGAUGCAGUGCAGGGACAGCACUGGGAUGCAGUGGGGAUGCAGUGCAUGGACAGCAGUGGGAUGCAAUGGGGAUGCAGUGGAGGGACAUGGGGGGACAUGGCAGAGACAUAAUGAGGACAGCGGGGGGAUGCAGUGGGGGACAGUGUGGGGUCAGUGGGGACGCAGUGCAGAGACUGUGCAGGGACAACAUUGGGAUGCAGUGGGGACGCAGUGGGGGCAGUGCAGGGACAGCACUGGGAUGCAGUGGGGAUGCAGUGGGGGCAGUGCUAGGGACAGCAUUGGGAUGCAGUGCAUGGACAGCAGUGGGAUGCAGUGCGGAUGCAGUGGGGAUGCAGUGCAGGGACAGCAUUGGGAUGCAGUGGGGAUGCAGUGGGGAUGCAGUGCAGGGACAGCAUUGGGAUGCAGUGGGGGCAGCACAGGGACAGCACUGGGACAGCGUGGGGAUGCAGUGCAGGGACAGCACUGGGAUGCAGUGGGGAUGCAGUGGGGGCAGUGCAGGGACAGCAGUGGGAUGCAGUGGGGAUGCAGUGGGGAUGCAGUGUAGGGACAGCAGUGGGAUGCAGUGGGGGCAGCACGAGGACAGUGCGUGGAUGCAGUGGGGACGCAGCGGGGACCCACCGGCCGUGUCC